AGCGAGUAGCUCUGUAAGGGAAUGGUUUUUAUUCGGAGUGAUUCAAAAGUUUGGCAUUUAACGUUUACGGAAAACAGAUCUAUCUUCUACCACUAAACUCAGGAAUUGUUGACUGGAAAUAAUCUAACUAAACCAAUUAAACACUUCAUGGAUCCUUCUCAUCAGCAAUUCAUCCGUCUUCGGGCUAUCAGGAGGGGCUCGCCCCGCGCGUGUUGCUAGGGAGCCCUGGAGUCUAACUGGUAAACACACGCAGACCGGGGGCAGAAGAAAAGCAGGCCGGCCGGGAAGCACACGGCCUCUCCCGGCCUUCUCCCGGGGUGAAAUGAAACAGGAAUGGGAGAUCAUGCUCUUCCCCGUCCUAAUUUAGCAAGCAGGAUUGUCUCACCCAGGCCCGCAGAGCGUGUGCCGCCCCAGGGCGUCCUUACACACAACAGGCUCUGGGUUGUUCAGCAGUCGCCUGCAGGCGAGGCCAAAACAGGCUGCUUCCACCUCCUUCAAAGGGCUGUGUGCUGCUCAGUGGGUUGGCAGUGUUGACUGCACCAGGCGAAGGACCUGGGCCGGGCAGACAGGGAAGUGCCUGGCACGGGCACCACGCUGGAGGGCAGGCUCUGAGGGUGGGGAGAGCAGAGCACAGAGCCCGGGGGGCACAGGCGUCGGGUGCUUCCUCACCGGCUGCCCCGGCCAGCUGUGGUCGCCCAAGCCACUCGAGCCUGGGGUGAGGAUGGGGUGCAGGCCUGGGACCUGGCUGGCUCCGGGGUCCGAGUUCCUAACCACAGCCCUCCACUGCCUCCGAGCCGGCUCCACUCCAGCGCACCACAGCUGUAAAGAAAUCCGGCUUCUUUGUCCUUAGGAGACAGAAGUAAAAUUUUCUCAUCGCACAUUGGACUGUUUAGCUCUGCAACUAGUGCUGGAGGGGUCCUCAUGGCCCACCUUUACCAUCUGGGUGUUCUUGGGUGAGUGCGUCGCUUCCGACCCUCAGGGAGGCCAGCGGGUACCGUGCAUCUUCCACGAGGCCCGUUCUCCAGGGCCAGCGAGGGUCGAAGUCUGGUGAGGGGAUUUGGGCUCUCAGGCCCGAAGGGCCCACAGCGUCACCUGCCUGGAGCGUGCACACUGCAGCCCAGAGGAGCUGGGUUCCUGAGAAGUGAGUCUCCCCAGCUCGAAGACCGGGUGGUGGCUCUCUCCCUCCUUCGUGCAGAGCUGAGCUGUUCGGGGAAAAUGGCAGAGUCGCCCGGAGAUUGGCCUGGAGUCCGAGGGAGACGCCCACCAGUGGCUCGGGUGGUGUGCGGGUCGGAGGCGGCCUCCCUGCCAGUCCCGGCACCCGCACGCUGCUCCUCUCAGCAGAGCCCAGGCUCAGGGCUGGACGGGGCCGGGGCUGCUGCUGUUCACACUGUCUGUUACUUCGCCUCUACUUACGGGAACGACUCCCACUUUCGACUUACAGGACCGAUAGGAAGCUCCCCAGGAUCUGUUCAAAUGUGGGCCUAUGGUCAGCCAGGCAAAUGGAAGCGCAAUGGUCGAAGCCAUGACAGGAGCCCUGGCCAGAGCGGACUCGGGACACUCUCAGCCAUCCAGGCGACACAGGCGCCUCUGGGCCAAGCCGCUCGGGCCUGGGGUGCUCGGAGACGUGGAGGCUGAGUCGGGCAGAGCAGCCUCGCCCGCCGCUCUCAGGCAAGGUUUGCCGGGGUGUCUGCCUCUGUCCCCUUCAAGCCCCACUUCUGGCCAGGACCAAAGGUGCCUGAAUCCCGUCCUGUCCCCAUGGACUCAGAUCGUCCCUGGUGAUGCCAGGGAGCUGGUGACUGCGGCCUGGGGAACAGGAGUGGGCCACGGAGGGGCUGGGCUCCCGGCCCGCGUCCCGAGCACCAGCGACCUCACGCUGCACCCAGCCUCAGCGUCCCUGGCAUCGCUGGACGCAGCCCCCUGGGCACUGCCCUCCCUUCGUCCUCUGCUCCCAGGCAGGCGGCUGAGGAAGGCGGGCGGCAGGGCUUUCCUGACUCGGAGGUGAGUGCAGCCGCGCGUCCCAGAGCCCGGGGUGUUCGGGGACCGCCGACGUAGGGCCAUGUGCCCACGAGGGCAACACUCAGUGGGGGCCGGAGGACGCCCCAAGAGGUGGCUCCCACAGACCGCGGGGCCCCAGGGCUGCUCUGGGGCUGGUGGCUUCUUCCCAGGCCGGGCUGGACAGCCACUGGUUCCCUCCCUGGGGACAGAGGGAACAGCCAGAAAAACAGCACCAGGAAGAGCUUGCGCAGGGCCGGGCCCUUGUGCGGAGAAAGCAGGAGAAAUGACGGGGAGCAGUCAGAGGUCAGGAAAUCAAUUUUUGUCUCCUUACAGAUCUAUCCAUGCAGAGGCUUGUAAAGGUCACGCCUGUCCUCUUAAAGAACCUCCAGGAUUUACAUCCUGCCCAGCCCUCGGCCUCCUGGAUGGUAAACAUGAAGAUCCAAUUAGUUUUCCCUAUAACUCAAAGAGAUCCAGCAACAGGGGCCUUUCCGGUUGGGAGUCGGUUUUCUUGCUCCUCGAUUCGGGGAUGAACUUUAAUCCACAUCUUAUCUCCUGCUUAAAAAUGAACAUCUCUUCUCUUCUUAUCACUGUGUUGCUCCCUUCUCACUUCCCCUCCCUCUGGAGUCUUGGCCACCUUCCUCCUUGGCAGUGACAGUGGAUUCUUCUGACCGAGUUACUCGCCGCUCUUGGUUACCUUAAGAAUUUCCCCCUGGCCGGGUCCCAGCCCUGCUCCUCCCCGGCACUGGGCAUCCGGGGCCCCACUUCUGAGUCUUUGCCGAGGAAGGGCAUGGAUUGCUGAACACCGCUCCUUUGUGGUGCAGUCCCCAGAGAUGAAGUCCCGAGCAGCCUGUCCCCAGUUCCUGGCCCCUCCCCCCCUCUGGGUUCACCAGUCCACACUGCUCUCCCCGGGUCGUGGGUGAGGUGGGCGCCCCAGUGCGAGUGCCCAGCCCCAGCCCGCAGUGCCGGGCUGCGGGUCUCAGAGUGGUCAGCUCUGGCUCCCGGCUGAGGGAAGCUUUCACCCACUUGUCCUGACGUGAGCAAUUCUGCAGGCAGGGCUGGGGGCCAGGGAGCGGUGGGCCUUCCGGGCAGGCGCUCUUCUGGUGCCUCCUUCGUUGAUUAUGGGGCCUCAGCAGGAGGCCUGGGCUCCUCAGCACAAACCUAGUCCCUGGGGCUCCCGGAAGUCACCACAGCCAGCACUUCCUGAGUGUGGGAAACACUGCACUGUACCUGGCCUCUCCCCAGGAGCUCCCACGAGCGCCUCCACCUGGAAGGGAAUCUGGGCGGGCACACGGCGUGGGACCUCUGACACGCAGCUUGCUUCCCGCUAGCUCUGAUGCAGGAGGGUGCGGAACCCCACGGCCACCUUGUGUGCUGGAGACAGGGAGGGGAGUUUCCAGUCUCCUCCUAAAAGAUUACUUGGCUUCUUCCUUGCUGUUGCCUAAGAGUCUGGAUAGGACGCACCUCAAGGCAGAAUGCCUUCAGAAGUUGCAAAGAGUGGAAAUCCUAGCUCAAGCAGCUUUCAUAGAGGAGACUUAUGUGCUCAUGUAACUACUGGUUGAAGUCUAGGCUUAGCCAGCACCUCCAUGAUGUUUCCAUGGACUCAGCUUUCUCUGGUCUUUCAGUUUGUCCUUCUGUGGUGUCAGCUUCAGACAAAGCCUGAUCUGCCUCAUGGUGGCAAAAUGGCUGCGGUGGUUCCAGGCUUCACAUUUUCAUAGUCAAAAGGAUUUGUCUUGGGUCUUUUCCACACCCAUGCAGGAAUCUAAAGAAUCUGCGUUGUCAGGAAGGCUGAGUAUGGAGUGGCUGGCCACUGGGUAAAGAAUUAAGAUCUUUGAAUUACCUCCUGUUAGAGCAGUUGAAGUGUAGGGACUUCCUCCCCGAAGUGUGAAGGUGGAACGUGCCAGUUGGUGCUGUGGCCUCAAUGACUCGGGCUUUUCUGCUCUGUGGUGCCGUUUCCUUGGUGUCACCGAUGGCGGCAGGAGUGCCGGGUGCUACCUUCUCAGUGUGGUCUGAACAGCAGGGGCAGCAAGGCUGGGAGCAGAGGGGCCUCUUCACGCACCCUGCUCUGGUCAGGGCCGGAAGCAUCCCAUUGACGCCGCCCCUCUGCCUCCUCCCCCCUGGCCUGGCCUGGGCCCGGGCGGACUGUGGAAGUGAACACCGGAAGGUCACCCAGCAGUGCCCUGCUUUACACUGCAGAGUCGAAGGCCAGCCCUGAGGGUGUUGCCAGUGUCUCAGAAGCGUGAGGAGAGCAGACCGAGUCUCCCAGCAGCUGCCUUGGGCCACUCUGUCUGGGAACACAGAGCCGAGGGCGGCCAGGCUCCAGGGGCAGCCCCGCCUGCUCCAAGCAUCGGCACAGACUGAGAAGCCCGGGUCUGUCUUGGCCUCCUGACCCUGGGAAUGUGCUGCCGACUCUUCCUUAACUUGAAGCUCUCAUUCCGUGGCAAGACUGCUUCCCCACCAGCUAACUGCUGGUCCUCAGGGCUCUGCUCAGCUCAGAGGGCCUGAGAGUGGCUGUCACUCAAUAAACCGUGCUAUCGGCCAGACAGUUUUGGCUGAACUGAAGACGGAGCAAGGAGCGCAGUGCAAGGAGGCCAGUCCACACAGGCAGCUCUGGCGUGCUCGGUUUCCUGCUAGUCCAGCGCUGGGCUCUUUGCUGCCCUUCUGACUCCCUCUGAGAAAUGAUGGAAGCAAGUUUUUCACCGCAGUUGGAAGCAGGCUCUGUGGGAAGGAAGAGGUCUCUUGGAGAAGCGGUGACAGAUGAGUCUGCUCGGAGGAAGAAGAAGCUGAGGCACUUGGGAGCCAGGGCCAUGGGCUCCGCAGUCAGUGGGCAGGGCCAGGCUUGCAGGUCAGCGCUGGCUCGAGGCUCUCAGUCGCUGUGCUUUGUCGACACACGGUUUGCGUGCACAGCGAUGGCGUGGGCCACAGGUGUCCUUCUCGGCUGCCCAGCCCUGGGUCCCACCUGGCCCUCAGUGGAGGCCCCGCCCGGCAGGCACCACUCCCUGAGCCUCUGCAGGAGCGGCCAGCAGGUGGCGCAUCCGCAACUGGCAGACAGCUCCUGGGCCACAGCAGCUGCAGCCCGGCCUUGGCCGGGCGCCCUUUCCUGGCCGUGGGGAAGGGGAGGCUCCCGUGCGUCUGUCUGUCUGUCUCGGUUCAUCUUGUAUUUGCUUGGAUCGUGAGGCCCCGCUCGGUCCCCAGGAGUAGGGGUCUUGCUCGGUUUUUGUGUGGUUAUAGCUCAGCCUCAGGCUGCUCCCUGCUGGUGAGGGCCUGGGGUGAGGCCAAGCCCCGGCGAAUGCCCCCGCUCUCCUCUCUGAGCCUCCUGUCAGCGGCGGCCGGGAGGGUGCACGCCGGCCCCCGGGCUCCGCUGCCCGGACUUGUUCCCCUCAGCCCGGGAGCCCUCUGGACCCCAAGUCUCCUGCCCUGUGGCCCUCCCUUUGGUCGAAGCAUUUCCACGCGGUAGCCUCUCCUCCUUUCGGUGAAAAACACACGGAUUGAAAUUCAUCCUUCUCGCCUUCUUUGUGGCCCUGCCCACUCGCAUCAUUGUGCAGCCGACAGACAGCAGCGCCCACCCCUCCGCCACCGUCCGCAGUCUGCCAAAAGCUGCUGCUCCCCUCGGGCCCGGGUGGGACCUAGCUGUUGGGCACCGCCUGCUCUGGGCCCGCCGCCUUUCUUCAAAGCUCGAGAAGAAGGGGUGAGAGAGGCACCGGGGUCCCCCGCGCACAGGGGAUCUGUUCCCAGACCCACGGGCAGCGCAACCCUAAGCUGCACCCCUCAGAGCCAGGUUCCCCGAAUCCUGUGCUGGGUCCCCCUUGGCCCGCGACUCCUGUGCUUUUAAGUCAUAAAGGGCUCUGUGGACACAGCACAGCAACCGUGUGGCCUCAGCCUGAUCCUGCUCGGCAGCCGGCAUCCAAGGACGAAGGAUGGGCCCUGCCAGAAUGGGGAACGGCCGAGGCCUGGGUCCUCAUCGUGUGAGCGAGCCAGGAGAGGGCAGCAUGAGCUGCUAAUUUCUAGAAUUCUCCACUGACCACUUCAAACCCUGUUUGACCUAAGGUCACCAAAACCGUGGAAAUCAAAGCCACAGGUAAGUGGGCUGUUGUGUAUUUUCCCAGAACGCACCUAUCUAUAACGCUAGAUCUGUCCUUCCUCCUUCACAGCGUGGCUGGAUGUGUCCUUGUGUCUGACACUCUCCCACUCUGCUCGAAGCCCAGGCUCCAGGACUCGUCCCGGGCAGGACCACAGACCUCGAGAGGCCCUGGCUUGGAGCUCAGCUCUGCUGUGGGCCAGGAGUCAGGCCUUGGGGACACCCAGCCCCCGAGGCCCCCGGGAGGGCUCAGCACCUCACUGGCGUGGGGUGCAGGCCCAGACUCCGAGGCCUGGAUGCUUUGCCUUCCAACUUCUGGCGCUGCUGCGUCUUGCAUUUCCAUACAUUUUUACCUGUGUGUUUCAGCUGCUGGUCAUUUUAUCGUACAUGGACUCAGUGCCCAAGGACUCUGCUGUAUUCUCAUUUCCCUUACAACAGAGCAGCCUUGCUCUGUGAUGUCCGACUCUUUCUUCUCUGAACAUCUGCAGGUUCCCGGCCACCGGGCCGGUGCGCGGGCUCAGGUGGCUCCAGCGUCCGAUCGGCCCCCAGGGCAUCUUUUGUUCUUUCUCUCUGCCGCUCAGGCGCCAGAGCAAGCGUCGCCUCUGUGAUGGGCCCGUGAUGCACAUGUCACCACAGACCUCUUGUUCUCCGAGAGCUGACGCCCCCAGAGACCGAGCCCCAGCAUCCUCUGGGGCCCAGUGUGGGAGUUCCAGUUGAGAGAAAGGAGCCGACGCCUGGCUGCUGCGCUUCAGACCCCGCCUCUUCCGCCCUGACACUCGCGCGUCUGAGCAGCCGCAAUGAAACCGCAUUCUCUGCAAUUCCGGCCCCAGAGGGGGACUCGCAGCCCAGAAGGGAGCUUCAUCAGCGCCAAGCCAAGAGCCACGCCGGAAAUGGGGUCAGCAUUUCGGCCACACUAUAAAAGCUUAAAGGAGAAGGGACAUGAAAGGCUUCGUAAAAAGCCCCUUCCGAGAUGCACAAAUAAUGCUUUUCCCUCGUCCCUGCUCCAACACCGAGCUCCAGGUCCCCUGAGUCACCAUGAUGUAUUUUCUCCAACCACCAACCAGCAUCUGAAAUGAUUCCAAGAAUCAGGCCUGAUCCCCAGCCCCAAGAAGUGCCAGCUGUUUGCUUGCAGUUGUGUUUAAAAACUGUUCCUGCCUCUCCUGUACUCUGGAGUCUCCUUGGCUGGUAGUCAGUAAACAUGAACAGAAGAAUUCGCUUAGCACAGCUCAUGACAGCUAAAUCCUGGAAGCAGCCUAAGUGUUGGUCAACAGAUCAAUGGAUAAAGAAAGCAUGGUAUUUGCACACAAUGGAGUACUACUCUGCCCCGAAGAAGGAUAAACUUGAGUCAUUUGGAGGAAAGUGGAUGAAUCUGGAGGCCAUGAUAUUAAGGGAAAUAAAUCAGACAAGCUUGAAUAUCACAUGGUUUCUUUUAUGUGAGAAAGCCAAAGUAUAAAUAAUUAUAAAAAGAAAUAAAGAUAACACCGAACAGGAAGAUAGACCUUUUGCAAAUGAGGAGGAAUCAAGAGAUGAGGAGGGAAGGGAAGGGGGCUAAAAAGAAUGAGGAGGAGUUAGGUACAUAUGCCGGCUCCCCACGAGGAAAGCGACCAUUGCGGACCAGAAACAGCUAGGAAAAGAACGUAAAAAGCAGGGUCUGCAGCAGCCCGAGAAUCAGGCCCAGAGCACCCGGCCUCAGGCUGCUCUGUGGGGCUGGGGCUGUGGAGCGGAGGCGACUGUGCUUUCCCCGCCUGCCGCUGGCCUCAGUCCUGCUGACCCCUGAGCACCUCCCUGCGCUACUGCGACACAGUGGGGCUCCGUGCGAGCCGCUGUGCUUGUGCUGCGCUCUGGCCUGGGGACACUGGCGAUCGACAGGUUGCGAGGCCUUCCUCAAGGCGGGGCUCCGACAGGGGGAGCCCUGCAGCCUGGGAGCUGGAGCGAGGCUCCCUGGGGAAGGCUGGGGGCGGCAGAGCUGGGAGCCCCUGCAUGAAGGGUCCCCUCCCGCCCGCAUUCCUCAGGCCCACACAGGCUCCUGGUCCAGUGGGUGGUGCCUGACAACCAUGAAGAGCCAGGAGGUUCCUGCAACAGAGAGCGCUGGGCAUUCCGAGGAGAGACAGGAUUCUAUGCGGUGUCAGGCUCCGAAGCCAGGCAGCCGCAGGUGUGCGUGGCCUGAAGUGCGCGGCCUCCCUGGGCAGGAGAAGCUGAGCAGACCGGACGCUGGGCUCGCGGAGAAGGUCGGAGGGAGAACAGCGGAGAACCUUACAGGCAGGGGAGGGCCCGGCCCUGCGUGCCCAGGAGGUGGGGGAGCCAUCGGGGCUCUGGGCGUGGCGGCCCUGGCGCGCAGCUGUUCUGCGAGCCUCCUCCUGCCAUGGCUCAGGCCCAGGGAGCCCGAGUGACGUUGGGAGGGCGCAGAGCUGGGCUCCAGUCUGCGGCGGAUCGCGGAGGCUGUGUGCGCAGCAGGGGUUAAAACAGCCUGGAAGCCUUCGAGAGGGUGCCCUGGACAGGGAGACCUCAGCAGGAGGAGGAGCCAGGCUCAGAAAUUAAAUCUAAAGGACCGACAGGUGUGAGGACAGAGAGCUAGGCUCCUUCUUGUCCCUGGGGUCGGGUUCUUGGCUCCGUUGGGACAGGAAUCAGGGAUCAGCACAGGCAGCUCUGCUCCGGCUUGGGGCACGAAGUCCCUCGGCCCUGAGAGUCCGCUCUCUGUGCCCUGCUUCCCCACUCACCUCUGCCAGCUAAUGCUGGGGGCCAAUGGUGCCCUGUGGGUCGCUGGCCACCUCUGGUUGAUGCCAGAGGAGCUCGCUCGCUGGGAGGCCCUGUGGCAGCCACUCCAGCCCUGAUCUGCGUGGGCUGCUGGUCUGGGGCUCUUCAGGACCAACAGCCCUGCUGUUUGCAUCCCUUUUUAAAGCUGCCAUUCUGCUCACACUGCUCGGGUGGCCUUGAGCAGAUUUACAGGACUUCUGAGUCCUCACUACAGAGAAAUAAAUCCUGACUGGAUUCAUAGGGCCCCUGGAGUGAGGUUUGUCUGAACAGGAGCCCUCUAGACCAAGGGCAAGUAGGCCUUGCGCUGCUUAUAUACAGCAGCAGGCCGCUGAUGAUUGGUCCAAACUGGCCUGAGUUCAAGCCUUCUGAUUCAAGCUCACUGAUUGGUGGGAUUUCCGUUCUGUUGCUUGGUUACAAUCACACUCACUGUAGUCAGGGCAGACAUUUCCUGGAGCAGGUGUGGAGCACCCAGGAUGCUGUGGCUGUCAUGGCAACAGUGUGGAGGAACUGGGAGACCCAAGCUGUUUGAUUGACAGCUGUUAGGUCUUGCUAAAAGUAGCAGGGCCAAAACGAGGGGCCCCAGGAGGCUGGCUGUUCAUCACACACAGCUCAGUGGGGCUUGGGGAGGUCAGGAUGCUCAGGCCACCGACACACAGGGGCGGGGUCCCUGCCGCUUCUUCAGAGAGGCCACCGUGUGGAGCAGCAGGGGCAGCGAGGGACCUGGGCGACAGCUGAGCCAGCUCCUGCCAGAGCGGCUUGGAGACCCAGGAGGACACGGAGGCAAGUUGUCCUGAGGAAAGGGAGCCAUGACUGAAGCGCGAGCCCUCCCAGGGCAGAGGGGAGCCAGGCAGGCGAGACCCCGCACUGCAGCUGCCCUCUCCUCCAGCCACCUGCUGAGCCUCGGGUUUCUAUCCUGCGAGACAGGCACUGGAGUGACGGGAGGGGAGGGGUUGGGUGUCACCUUCCCCGCCCCCCGAGGCGGGUGGGGCGGCUUCUGUCCUCGGUACCCGCUGCUCCGGCGGGCGGGCCUCCCCUCCAAACAGCCCCCUUCUCUGAGGGACGCCCCAUGCUGGGCGCCGCUGCCCGUCCAGGGCCCUCUGCAGAACGGAAGCUGUGAGCCCACUGGACAGCAGCCCCUCGCUCCCCGCGACACGGGUCUGCUCUGCGAACGAGGCUGCUCUGGGGCACACGGACCAGACAGGGCCACCUGGCCGCCUGUGCCCGGGUGUGGCAGCUCAGCUCAGGGCUUCCUUCCCCUUCCUCCUGGGUGUGCUUCCACCUCCCUGCAGACGUGAGGGCAGCCUUCGGGAGAGAGCUUGUGAUCCUGCCUCUGCGGCAUGGCCAGCAGCCCUGUGUGGGCGGAGGCUCCCGGGGAGGCUCCGGGGCUCCUGGCAGAGGAAACCCUGCUGACUCUGGACAGGAAGGGCCCUCGGCCCGGUGCCUCCCAGGUCUAGGCUUCAGAAUUUGGGUCUGUAGGUCGGUUGGAAACCCAGGCCUGGACUCCACCAAGCAGGAAGUUGGCCAGGAAGGGUCCACUCGGGGUGCAGCUGGCACACAGGUUGGAGAAAGGGUCGGGUUAGAAGAGGCUGCUGGUGGGCUGGGGAUGCAACCCCCAGAGUGUCCUCUCUGCCCCUCCCACACCCUCCUCCUCCUCAGAAGAAGAACCCAGUGUAGAGGAAGGGAAGCCCCUGGACCGGGCGAGCUCCUGACCAUCACUUACCUCCCCCUGCCGCCUCCCGGGAGGCAGCUCCGUGCUGGGCACCUGUGCCUCCUCGGUGUGUUCACAGGGUGCUGGGAGACGGUUUGCACUCACACUGCUGCCCACGUCGGGGACACCCGAGACCUGCAGCUCGUGGUGCCUGCUUUGCCAAGCAUCUCUGCCAAGCUGGGCUCUCAGGGCUGCCCUGAAAAACUCUGGACACUUCAUGGAAGUCAGUGUGGACCAGAGAAUGAGUCUCGCAGGGUCCGAGCAGGCUCUACCCUGCCCCGCAGUGGAAUUGCACCCCGGGAGUUGCUGCGAUGAGCUCAGAAUGCAAUAAAUACUGUUUGCUGAAAUUUACGGGCAUUAAUUUUUCAAGUAGCUACUAAAUUGUUAGGAC
rnacentral:lncRNA from 1 species